rnacentral:lncRNA from 1 species
UCAAAGUCUAGAACAAGAGCUGGGCGUGGUGGCUUGUGCCUGUAAUCCCGGCACUUUGGCAGGCCAAGGUUGGCGGAUUGUUUGAGUUCAGGAGUUCAAGACCAGCCUGGGCAACAUGGUGAAAUCCUGUCUCUACAAAAAAAAUGCAAAAAUUAGCUUGGCAUGGUGGCUCGUACCUGUAGUCUCAGCUACUUGGGAGGCUUAGGUGGGAAGCCUUGAGCCCGGGAGAUGGAGAUUGCAGUAAGCUGAGAUCAUGCCAUGACACUCCAGCCUGGGUGACAGAGCCAGGCCCUGUCUCAAAAACAAAAGUCUAGAACAACAGAGACUAGAAUUGAGGUAUUUCCAUGAGACUAGAGUUUAGAAUACAGACCUAGCAGAGCUCAUCAGAGCAUAGGUAGGACAGAAAUAAGCCAAAAGUGUCCUGGGGUGAUGGCGAGAAACAUAAGCUAGUAUUUGGGCUUUGAGUUUAAAUGCUAUUAGGUACAUGUUUGUGAGUCAUACUGGCUUAUGGGACCAGGGACAGGAGAGACAGCCAGUUAGGCAAGGAAUUACAGCCACUGGGUAAGACCCAGGCUCAGAUGCAAUUUGUUGUUUGAGUAUGACUGUUAACAAGGAGCAAAGCUCCAGUCAGUGUAGAAAAUGGUGGUUUACUUUUAAUUCGCUUUCCUUUUGCAACUUUCAUAUCUAGUCAUUCACUUCUUCAAGUUGAUUCUUCAUAAACUGUUUUAUAGCUGUCAUUCUAAUUCUCACUACCACCUUACUAUCAACAUUCUUCAUGGUGAAAAGAUGAGUAGGGACAAUAAUAUUGACACUCUUUGGGGAAUUUGAGGAAAAAAAAUGCCCAGUAGGUAUAGGAUUAAGAAUAUAAAAUAGAAAGUGAAGAAAGGGGCAGGUAUGAUGGGUUGCAUGCAAGUUAAAAUCUUAUAGAACAUAAACUGAGUAAGCCAGGAAUUCAGCUGACAAGGGAGAUGAGCAGAGGAAACCCUGAGAGAGAAAAGGAGAUAUUCAGAGAGACAGAGGCCGUGUGGUCCCUGAAAAACAGACAGAAAAAGUAGCCAAUCACUACAGCCAUCUCAGUUAUUCAAUGCAACCCAAAUGUAGGUGUUGCUCUGAGGUAUUUUGUAGAUACGUCUAAAGUUCAUAAUCCAUUGAUUUUAGGUGUGGAAGAUGAUUCUAGAUCAUUGGGUGUGCCUGAUUGAAUUAGCUGAAAGAAGUUAAGAACAGAAGCGAGGCUUCCCUGAAGAAGAAAUUCCACCUACGGAAUAUAGCAUUGUUCACGUACUAGAGUUCUAGCCUGCCCUUCUUGACAGCCUCCCCUGCAGAUCUGGGACUUCCCCUGCCAUCCCCCAUAACCACCCAGGCCAAUAUAGCUCCACCUACAGUCCUCUUUCUCCGGUUUAACCCUGACUGUUAAACUCUUUCCUACAGAUUGCUCAACCCUCACAAAAUGUUUUGUAAGUCAUUGUUGGACCACGGACUUGAGCGCUCGAGGCCAUCCUAUCCAGGUUGAUCCCAUUGCUGUGGAAUGUUACAGCACAGGGGUCCCACAGACGUAGCUUUAUGAUCACUGUCCCAGGCUAUUACAUGUGGAAGGACAGUUUUUAGACACUCAGAGAACCAUGCCCUCUCCUCUGCUAGAUUUCAAUUUUACUGAAAUUUUCUUAACUCCUUAAAGCUGUGAAAUAUCCUAUAGGGUAAUAAGAAAAUGCUGGAGAAUAUAGAAUAAUGAAAUUUUAUAUUGCUUCCUAAGUUUAAAAUAGUAUUUCUUUUCUUCAAUUUUAAUUAUUAAAGAUAGCCAAUGCUUCUUUCUCUCAUCUACUCUGUCUUCCUGGAGAUAACCACAGCUAGUAGGUUGGAGUUUCUCUUUAGCCCUUUUGCUAAGCAUAUGUAUAUAUGUAUGGAUAUGUUUGAAAAGAAGGCUAUAUGUGUCUGUGUGUGUUAUCUAUCUACACACACACACACACACACACACGUUAAAACAUAAAUGAGAUCAAGCUAUGCAAAUUAUUUGUCCAGUUUUUUGUUUUUGUUUUUUUUUUGAGACAGGGUGUCACUGUGUCACCCAGGCUGAGUACAGUGGCGCCAUCACAGCUCAUUGCAGCCUCAAUUUCUCAGGCUAAGGUAAUCCUCCUCCAUCAGCCUGAGUAGCUAGGACUACAAGCACAAGUCAGCACACCCGGCUGCUUUUUUUUUUUUUUUUUUUUUUCAAAGACGGAGUCUCACUCUGUUGCCCAGCCUGGAGGUCUGUGGUGAGAUCUUGGCUCACAGCAACCUCCGCCUCUUGGGUUCAAGCAAUUCUCAUGCCUCAGCCUCCUGAGUAGCUGGGAUUAUAGGCACCCAUCACCAAACCUGGCUAAUUUUUGUAUUUUUAGUAGAGACAGAGUUUCACCAUGUUGGCCAGGCUGUUCUUAAACUCCAGACCUCAAGUGAUCCUCCCGCCUCAGCCUCCCAAAGGGCUGAUAUUACAGGCAUGAGUCACUGCAUCUGGCUGACUCUGAUCUUUUAGAUGUUGGCAUUUUAAGAUGAAAAGUUUGGCUGAUCCAAAGGUAGCAAGUUACCUCAAUUGACUGUUCACAGUUGCAGAUGAAACUCCUUGUUCUAUUCUUUCCCUACCUUCCCACUGCUGCACUUGACUAGUCUUUAAAAAGAAGUCCUUAAAAUGGGCCAGGCUUGGUGGCUCACGCCUGUAAUCCCAGCACUUUGGGAGGCUGAAGUGGGAGGAUCACCUAAGGUCAGGAGUUCGAGACCAGCCUGGCCAACAUGGUGAAACCCUCUCUCUACUAAAAAUACAAAAAUUAGCCGGGCAUGCUGGCGGGUGCCGGUAAUCCCAGCUACUAGGGAGGCUGAG